CUAACUCAAAUUUGUAUGUUGUCGGAACGUUUGCCUAAAUUUACGUACGUUUGCCUAGGGGCGCUGUUCCAAUUGCAUUCAAAUUUGAUUUA
rnacentral:pre_miRNA from 1 species